GCAGCAGGCGCGCAAAUUACCCACUCCCGGCACGGGGAGGUAGUGACGAAAAAUAACGAUACGGGACUCAUCCGAGGCCCCGUAAUCGGAAUGAGUACACUCUAAACCCUUUAACGAGUAUCCAUUGGAGGGCAAGUCUGGUGCCAGCAGCCGCGGUAAUUCCAGCUCCAAUAGCGUAUAUUAAAGUUGUUGCGGUUAAAAAGCUCGUAGUUGGACUUGUGUCCCACGCUGUCGGUUCACCGUUCGUCGGUGUUAACUGGCAUGCCUGUGUGGACGUCCUGCCGGUGGAUGCGGUCGGCCGUGGGCCUCUGGUCUGCGUGUCGGCGGUCCGAUGCAAUCCUACCGCGGUGCUCUUCACCGAGUGUCGAGGUGGGCCGGCACGUUUACUUUGAACAAAUUAGAGUGCUCAAAGCAGGCAGUGGUUCGCCUGAAUAUUGUGUGCAUGGAAUAAUGGAAUAGGACCUCGGUUCUAUUUUGUUGGUUUUCGGAACCUGAGGUAAUGAUUAAUAGGGACAGACGGGGGCAUUCGUAUUGCGACGUUAGAGGUGAAAUUCUUGGAUCGUCGCAAGACGAACCUAAGCGAAAGCAUUUGCCAUGAGUGUUUUCAUUAAUCAAGAACGAAAGUUAGAGGUUCGAAGGCGAUCAGAUACCGCCCUAGUUCUAACCAUAAACGAUGCCAGCUAGCGAUCCGCCGAAGUUCCUCCGAUGACUCGGCGGGCAGCUUCCGGGAAACCAAAGCUUUUGGGUUCCGGGGGAAGUAUGGUUGCAAAGCUGAAACUUAAAGGAAUUGACGGAAGGGCACCACCAGGAGUGGAGCCUGCGGCUUAAUUUGACUCAACACGGGAAACCUCACCAGGCCCGGACACCGGAAGGAUUGACAGAUUGAUAGCUCUUUCUUGAUUCGGUGGGUGGUGGUGCAUGG
rnacentral:rRNA from 3 species